GACGAACGCUGGCGGCGUGCCUAAUACAUGCAAGUAGAACGCUGAAGAGAGGAGCUUGCUCUUCUUGGAUGAGUUGCGAACGGGUGAGUAACGCGUAGGUAACCUGCCUUGUAGCGGGGGAUGACUAUUGGAAACGAUAGCUAAUACCGCAUAACAAUGGAUGACACAUGUCAUUUAUUUGAAAGGGGCAAUUGCUCCACUACAAGAUGGACCUGCGUUGUAUUAGCUAGUAGGUGAGGUAACGGCUCACCUAGGCGACGAUACAUAGCCGACCUGAGAGGGUGAUCGGCCACACUGGGACUGAGACACGGCCCAGACUCCUACGGGAGGCAGCAGUAGGGAAUCUUCGGCAAUGGGGGCAACCCUGACCGAGCAACGCCGCGUGAGUGAAGAAGGUUUUCGGAUCGUAAAGCUCUGUUGUAAGUCAAGAACGAGUGUGAGAGUGGAAAGUUCACACUGUGACGGUAGCUUACCAGAAAGGGACGGCUAACUACGUGCCAGCAGCCGCGGUAAUACGUAGGUCCCGAGCGUUGUCCGGAUUUAUUGGGCGUAAAGCGAGCGCAGGCGGUUUGAUAAGUCUGAAGUUAAAGGCUGUGGCUCAACCAUAGUUCGCUUUGGAAACUGUCAAACUUGAGUGCAGAAGGGGAGAGUGGAAUUCCAUGUGUAGCGGUGAAAUGCGUAGAUAUAUGGAGGAACACCGGUGGCGAAAGCGGCUCUCUGGUCUGUAACUGACGCUGAGGCUCGAAAGCGUGGGGAGCGAACAGGAUUAGAUACCCUGGUAGUCCGCGCCGUAAACGAUGAGUGCUAGGUGUUGGAUCCUUUCCGGGAUUCAGUGCCGCAGCUAACGCAUUAAGCACUCCGCCUGGGGAGUACGACCGCAAGGUUGAAACUCAAAGGAAUUGACGGGGGCCCGCACAAGCGGUGGAGCAUGUGGUUUAAUUCGAAGCAACGCGAAGAACCUUACCAGGUCUUGACAUCCCGAUGCUAUUUCUAGAGAUAGAAAGUUACUUCGGUACAUCGGUGACAGGUGGUGCAUGGUUGUCGUCAGCUCGUGUCGUGAGAUGUUGGGUUAAGUCCCGCAACGAGCGCAACCCCUAUUGUUAGUUGCCAUCAUUCAGUUGGGCACUCUAGCGAGACUGCCGGUAAUAAACCGGAGGAAGGUGGGGAUGACGUCAAAUCAUCAUGCCCCUUAUGACCUGGGCUACACACGUGCUACAAUGGUUGGUACAACGAGUUGCGAGUCGGUGACGGCAAGCUAAUCUCUUAAAGCCAAUCUCAGUUCGGAUUGUAGGCUGCAACUCGCCUACGUGAAGUCGGAAUCGCUAGUAAUCGCGGAUCAGCACGCCGCGGUGAAUACGUUCCCGGGCCU
rnacentral:rRNA from 1 species